rnacentral:lncRNA from 1 species
CAAGUACUGAGGAGGGUGUAAAGCCAUUGGAACCCUCUUUCAUUGCUGGAGGUAAUGUAAAAACCUUGCAGCUUUUCAUGUUCAGACUGAAAAGGAAGAAGUAAAACUGUAUUUAUUUAUAAACAAUAUGAUCGUAUAUAGAGAAAAUCUUAAGGAAUCCUCUAAGAAACUAGUAGAACUAAUAAAUGAGUAAAGCAAGUCAAAGGAAAUGAGGUCAAUAUGUAAAAAUCAAUUGUAGUCUACGGCAACCUCUGAAAUGAAGUUAAGAAAAUUCUACUCAUGAUGGCAUAAAAAGAAUAAACAAAUUUAUCAGCAUUUAGAAAUAAUUAAUAAAAUAAUUAUAAUUCAAUAUCUAAUAAAUAACAUUAUUAUGUAUUAAUAGCUUUCACAAAGAAGUGCAAGAUGUGUGCUGAAAGGAACAAGACGCUGGUGAUAAAGUAAGAACUCUACCUAAAUGGAGAGAUGCUUCUGUGUUCAUGAGAUGGAGGCCUCAGUGUUGGUAAGAUUUCAUCUGGACAUUCUCUCCAGAGGGGUUCAACGCACCUCCAUCAACAUUCCAGCAGCCUUCUUUUGUUGUUGUUGCAGAAGUUGGCAAACUGAUCUUAAAAUUUUAUACAGAAAUGUAAAGGUCCCAGCAGAGUCAAGAUCAUUUUGAAAAGGAAAAACAAAACUGGAGGACUCUCCAAUUGGAAAACGUGCUAAAAGCAACAAGAAUCCAGAUAGCGUGGCCCUGGCAUAGACUGAGGAUAAAUCAGGAUAGACAGAUCAGUGGAGCAGACGGGGGGUCCAGGCAUCAACCCUGACUCUUAGGGCUGACUGAUUUUCAACCAAGGUGCCAGGGCAACUCAACGGCAAAAGGACGGUGUUCUCAACAAAUGAUGCUGGGAUGAUUGAACAUCCCCAUGAAGAAAAGAUGAAUUUAGAACUUUAUCUUUUCCAUAAAAAAUAACUCACACUGGAUCCCAGGCCUAAAUGUAAGAGCUAGAACUAUAAGAGUUCUGGAGGGAUACGAGAAAAUCUUUGUGAAACUUGGGUUAGGCAAAGAAUUCUUAAAUACGGUACCAAAACUAUGCUCCAUAAAAGAAAAAAUGGACAAACUGGACUUCAGCAAAAUGAAAAACUUUUGCUGUUCCAAAGAUAGCAUUAGGCAAAUGAAAAGAUGAGCCGUAGGUGGACGGAAAGCAUUUGCAAAGACAUAUCUGAUAAAGGACUUAUAUCCGCAAUAGGUAAAGAACUCUAUAGCUAAAAAUAAGAAGACAACCUUUUUUUCAUUUUUUUUUCUUCUUUUUUUUUUUUUUUAAAUGAGACAGGGUCUCCCUCUGUCACCCAGGCUAGAGUGUAGUGGUGCAGUCACGGGGCUCACUGUAGCCUCAACCUGCUGGGCUCAAGGGACUCUCCCAAUUUCAGCCUUCCGAGUAGCUGGGACCACACGCAUGCACUACCAUGACCAGCUAAUUAAAAACAAUUUUGGUUUUUUUUUUUAGGGAUGGGGUCUCACUAUAUUGCCCAGGCUGGUCUUGAUCUCCUGGACUUGGCCGGGCACGGUGGCUCACGUCUGUAAUCCCAGCACUUUGGGAGGCCAAGGCGGGUGGAUCACGAGGUCAGGAGAUCGAGACCAUCCUGGCCAACACGGUGAAACCCCGUCUCUACUAAAAAAAAAUACAAGAAAU